UUAAACAAAAACGACCAGGUCAACAGGAUAUCACGAGACCUGUUACAGCGGAAAUUUAUCCAAGCGCCGCACAGGGUUAAUUUCUUUUCGACACGCACAGCCUGGCGCACAGAAGCAUCCGGAGUCUCUGUGGACAGGUGACACAGGUAGUGUGCACUCCCGUCGGUGCAAGCCUCAUGCGACCACUUAUAACAAAAGACACACUGGACCCACUCUUCCCCAGGCAUCGAGGCGCUGAAGAGCUCGGAGCACACGAGGCAGCUGACGUCCUCGCUGGAUAGGCCUAAAUAAAUUGGAGAAGUGGAGGCAGCAAUGGUGGUGAACUCUGCUGCCUCCGGAACAGGACAAACUAGGCCUAAGGUGGGGCUGACUCCAUCAGCGGGCCAGGUGAUGGUGGGAGGAGCAGCUGAGGUGGCAACUCCGGCAUCAGGAGCGGGCGAGAACAGCCUCUUCUUGGGAGCCCGAGAGGAGGGAGGCUGCUUAGCGGGACGACGCUGCUUCCCAGUUCCCUGCUUUUCCGCCUCUAAAGCAGCCCUCACCGGGGUGUCCGUCCGGCCUUAGGGUAAGGCCGGACGAUGUCCGGGCUGAACUCAACGGCCUCUCCCUCAGGCCGGACAGCUUCGUCAGGCCCGGCAGCUCGAUCAGUGUUCCUACCUGAAGUGGCACCUGGAGAAGCGCUGACCUCGUCACCCGAAGCCUGGGGAGGAGGACGGUCUGUGGAAUAGGCUCCGGCGAAGUCCUUUUCCUCAAACGCAGAGGGGUUAAAAGGCCAGAUCCCUGGACUUGAGAACCCGGAGGUGGGACGGGUGAUUGUCCAGCAGGAGGAGCAGCUUCGACUCCUUGGACACACGGGUGUGCCUGGUGAAGUGGGCCAGGUACAGGAGGAAGUCUGGCUCCUUCAUCCAGCCAGUUGGGUUGCCGCUGCCUGCACAGCCAACGGGUCCACCCCUCAGGAAGUGGUCUUUGAACCGCUUACGGGGGAAGAUGAAGAAUGGCGGAACAAGGUCGCCCUGCGCAUUGCCUGCCAAGGCAACUGUGACCAGGGUCCCCCUCUCCGCUGAGGUCACUGACCCGACCUGCUUCUGCCCCAUCUGGGCGACGACACGGUCUGGCACCUGGACAGUGGUGACCCCUGUAAAUAGUUGUGUGAGUAUAGUUGUGUAUAUAUAUAUAGUUGUGUGUAUAUAGUUGUGUUUUUUGUUAAUAAAGUUCAUAUUAAAUACCGGUUUCAUCAAUGUUCCAAAUGUCCUUGGCCUGGAACUGGUGCCGUUCCAGCACCGUCUUUAAAUUUUGGUGGAACAAGUUUACAUUUGUUUGGUUGAAGCUGGACAAUCGCUGUUGGCUAGUGGCCUCUGGACGCCGAAGGGAGAGGCUGCCACUGCGCUCCAUGAAGGAGGUGAACCAGUCCUUCCCCGCCAUGCUCUUCCUCGACCAGGAUGCAGGGAAUGGGCAGCUGAAGUGGACUGCCAGCUCAAAGGCAAAUUUUCUGACCUGAAGGGGUCAUAAAAAGUUGAUGUUUAUGUUUAUGUUAUUUGUUCAUAUUUAUUAAAUCAUAUUUAUUAAUUAAAGCA